rnacentral:rRNA from 1 species
GCAGCAGGGGUGUAGCAAUACACUCGCUGGCGACCGGCAAACGGGUGCGGAACACGUACGCAAUCUACCCAAAACUGGUGAAUAGCCCUCCGAAAGGAGGAUUAAUACACCGUAACCUAUUGAAGUGGCAUCACUUUAUUAGUAUAGCUCCGGCGGUUUUGGAUGAGCGUGCGGCUGAUUAGGUAGUUGGCGGGGUAACGGCCCACCAAGCCUGCGAUCAGUAACUGGUGUGAGAGCACGACCAGUCACACGGGCACUGAGACACGGGCCCGACUCCUACGGGAGGCAGCAGUAAGGAAUAUUGGUCAAUGGACGCAAGUCUGAACCAGCCAUGCCGCGUGGAGGAUGAAGGCCCUCUGGGUUGUAAACUUCUUUUAUCUGGGACGAAACCCUCAUAUUCUUAUGAGACUGACGGUACCAGAGGAAUAAGCACCGGCUAACUCCGUGCCAGCAGCCGCGGUAAUACGGAGGGUGCAAGCGUUAUCCGGAUUCACUGGGUUUAAAGGGUGCGUAGGAGGGCAGGUAAGUCAGUGGUGAAAUCUCCAAGCUUAACUUGGAAACUGCCGUUGAUACUAUCUGUCUUGAAUGUUGUGGAGGUGAGCGGAAUAUGUCAUGUAGCGGUGAAAUGCUUAGAUAUGACAUAGAACACCAAUUGCGAAGGCAGCUCACUACACAAUUAUUGACUCUGAGGCACGAAAGCGUGGGGAUCAAACAGGAUUAGAUACCCUGGUAGUCCACGCCCUAAACUAUGGAUACUCGACAUACGCGA